AUUGAACGCUGGCGGCAGGCCUAACACAUGCAAGUCGAGCGAGCGGCGGACGGGUGAGUAAUGUAUUGGGACUGCCCGAUAGCGGGGGAUAACUACUGGAAACGGUGGCUAAUACCGCAUACUAUCGGAUAACCAAUAUGGGAGUAGCUAGUAGGUGGGGUAAAGGCUAACCUAGGCGACGAUCCUUAGCUGGUCUGAGAGGAGGAUUAGCCACACUGGGACUGAGACACGGCCCAGAGUCCUACGGAGGCAGCAGUGGGGAAUAUUGCACAAUGGGCGCAAGCCUGAUGCAGCCAUGCCGCGUGUAUGAAGAAGGCCUUAGGGUUGUAAACCUCUUUCGCUAUCGAACGGGUAGGUGGCGAAGAAGCGCCGGCUAACUACGUGCCAGCAGCCGCGGUAAUAC
rnacentral:rRNA from 1 species